AGGCUGUGGAGGCAGGAACUGAACAUUUAUGAGGACACGGAUAUCUACCACCUUCUCGCCCUGGUCUGGCAGGUCAACGUCGGCAUGAAAAUGAGAGACGUUGAGUUUGAAGCUCGAAGGAGACUCACAUCACGAGUGUCCCAAAGGCCGUCUUUUCAAGAUGCUGAGACCAGCAGGACGGCUCAGGACAUCGCCAGGAGUCUGAUGGAGAUGCCUCCGGAGGCGUUUGGCUGCAAACGCUUCGGCCUGCAGGAGGUGGUGAUGGAGGUUGUCCU